AGCGAACGCUGGCGGCAGGCCUAACACAUGCAAGUCGAACGAACUCUUCGGAGUUAGUGGCGGACGGGGGAGUAACACGUGGGAACGUGCCUCUAGGUUCGGAAUAGCUCAGGGAAACUUGUGCUAAUACCGAAUGUGCCCUUCGGGGGAAAGAUUUAUCGCCUUUAGAGCGGCCCGCGUCUGAUUAGCUAGUUGGUGAGGUAAAGGCUCACCAAGGCUACGAUCAGUAGCUGGUCUGAGAGGAUGACCAGCCACAUUGGGACUGAGACACGGCCCAAACUCCUACGGGAGGCAGCAGUGGGGAAUCUUGCGCAAUGGGCGAAAGCCUGACGCAGCCAUGCCGCGUGGAUGAUGAAGGUCUUAGGAUUGUAAAAUCCUUUCACCGGUGAAGAUAAUGACUGUAGCCGGAGAAGAAGCCCCGGCUAACUUCGUGCCAGCCGCCGCAGUAAAAC
rnacentral:rRNA from 1 species